AUUGAACGCUGGCGGCAUGCCUUACACAUGCAAGUCGAACGGUAACGCGGGGCAACCUGGCGACGAGUGGCGAACGGGUGAGUAAAGCAUCGGAACGUGCCCAGUAGUGGGGGGAUAGCCCGGCGAAAAGCCGGAUUAAUACCGCAUACGACCUACGGGUGAAAGGGGGGGAUCGCAAGACCUCUCGCUAUUGGAGCGGCCGAUGUCAGAUUAGGUAGUUGGUGGGGUAAAGGCCUACCAAGCCGACGAUCUGUAGCUGGUCUGAGAGGACGACCAGCCACACUGGGACUGAGACACGGCCCAGACUCCUACGGGAGGCAGCAGUGGGGAAUUUUGGACAAUGGGCGCAAGCCUGAUCCAGCCAUGCCGCGUGCGGGAAGAAGGCCUUCGGGUUGU
rnacentral:rRNA from 1 species